GCCGCCUUAGCUCAGUUGGUAGAGCACAUCAUUCGUAAUGAUGGGGUCAGGUGUUCGAGUCACCUAGGCGGCACCA
rnacentral:tRNA from 1 species